ACACGUAGGGGGCAAGCGUUAUCCGGAAUUAUUGGGCGUAAAGGGUGCGUAGGCGGCCUUGUGGGUCAGAGGUUAAAUACUACGGCUUAACCGUAGUUUGCCUUUGAAACUAUAAGGCUUGAGUGCAGGAGAGGAGAGUGGAAUUCCUAGUGUAGCGGUGAAAUGCGUAGAUAUUAGGAGGAAUACCAGUGGCGAAGGCGACUCUCUGGACUGCAACUGACGCUAAGGUACGAAAGCGUGGGUAGCGAACAGGAUUAGAUACCCUGGUAGUCCACGCCAUAAACGAUGAGUGCUAGGUGUCGGGGGUCAAACCUCGGUGCCGCAGUUAACGCAUUAAGCACUCCGCCUGGGGAAUACGUUCGCAAGAAUAAA
rnacentral:rRNA from 1 species